rnacentral:rRNA from 1 species
AACGAACGCUGGCGGCAUGCCUAACACAUGCAAGUCGAACGAGACCUUCGGGUCUAGUGGCGCACGGGUGCGUAACGCGUGGGAAUCUACCCUUGGGUUCGGAAUAACAGUUAGAAAUGACUGCUAAUACCGGAUGAUGACGUAAGCCCAAAGAUUUAUCGCCCAAGGAUGAGCCCACGUAAGAUUAGCUUGUUGGUGGGGUAAUGGCCUACCAAGGCGACGAUCUUUAGCUGGUCUGAGAGGAUGAUCAGCCACACUGGGACUGAGACACGGCCCAGACUCCUACGGGAGGCAGCAGUGGGGAAUAUUGGACAAUGGGCGAAAGCCUGAUCCAGCAAUGCCGCGUGAGUGAUGAAGGCCUUAGGGUUGUAAAGCUCUUUUACCAGGGAUGAUAAUGACAGUACCUGGAGAAUAAGCUCCGGCUAACUCCGUGCCAGCCGCCGCAGUAA